rnacentral:rRNA from 1 species
CACCACAGAAGGUAAUAGUCCUGUAUGUUAAACGAGAAGACUUUAGAUAUGAUCCAGAGUACCACGGGACACGUGAAACCCUGUGGGAAGCAGGAGGGACCACCCUCCAAGGCUAAAUACUACCUAGUGACCGAUAGCGUAUAGUACCGUGAGGGAAAGGUGAAAAGAACCCCGGGAGGGGAGUGAAAUAGAACCUGAAACCCUGCACUUACAAGCUGUGGAAGCACAUUUCUUGUGUGACCGCGUACUUUUUGUAGAACGGGCCAACGAGUUACGUUAAGUAGCAAGGUUAAGCACUUAAGGUGCGGAGCCGUAGCGAAAGCGAGUUUUAACUGAGCGUUCAGUUACUUGACGUAGACCCGAAACCGGGCGACCUACCCAUGAGCAGGAUGAAGCGAAAGUAAAAUGUCGUGGAGGUCCGAACCCACGAGCGUUGAAAAGCUCGGGGAUGACUUGUGGGUAGCGGUGAAAUUCCAAUCGAGCCCGGAGAUAGCUGGUUCUCCCCGAAAUAGCUUUAGGGCUAGCCUCAAGGUGAGAGAUACGGAGGUAGAGCACUG